CGCUGAUGAAAGCCACUGCGAACAAGAUUGCAGUGGUGGUGAAGGUCAGAAUGACUCUUUCUCUUCCUCUCAUCUUUCUGCUCAUGAUUUCUGCUCUUCAGGUAAAGGCACCACAGCUGGUGCUGGAGAAACAAACAGUCAGUCUGACCUGUGAAACCACAUGCAAUCUGACAGACAGAUUCAUCUGGUACAAAAAUGGACAGACUUUAAACAUCCAGAGCAAAACUCUCCAGCUUCAGUCUGAGCGCAGUGAUUCUGGUCAUUACAGCUGUGCUGCCAGAGGACAUGAACAUCUGCCUUCUCCUGCUGUCAGCAU